AUUGAACGCUGGCGGCAUGCUUUACACAUGCAAGUCGAACGGUAACAGGUCUUCGGAUGCUGACGAGUGGCGAACGGGUGAGUAAUACAUCGGAACGUGCCUAGUAGUGGGGGAUAACUACUCGAACGAGUAGCUAAUACCGCAUGAGAUCUACGGAUGAAAGCAGGGGACCUUCGGGCCUUGUGCUACUAGAGCGGCUGAUGGCAGAUUAGGUAGUUGGUGGGGUAAAGGCUUACCGAGCCUGCGAUCGGUAGCUGGUCUGAGAGGACGACCAGCCACACUGGGACGGAGAGACGGCCCAGACGCCGACGGGAGGCGGCGGUGGGGAAUUUUGGACAAUGGGCGAAAGCCUGAUCCAGCAAUGCCGCGUGCAGGAUGAGGGCCCUCGGGUUGUAAGCUGCUUUUGUACGGAACGAAAAGCCUGGGGCUAAUAUCCCCGGGUCAUGACGGUACCGUAAGAAUAAGCACCGGCUAACUACGUGCCAGCCGCCGCCGUAA
rnacentral:rRNA from 1 species